GAUGAACGCUGGCGGCGUGCCUAAUACAUGCAAGUCGAGCGAACGGACGAGAAGCUUGCGUCUCUGAUGUUAGCGGCGGACGGGUGAGUAACAAGUGGAUAACCUACCUAUAAGACUGGGAUAACUACGGGAAACCGGAGCUAAUACCGGAUAAUAUUUUGAACCGCAUGGUUCAAAAGUGAAAGACGGUCUUGCUGGCACUUAGAGAUGGAUCCGCGCUGCAUUAGCUAGUUGGUAAGGUAACGGCUUACCAAGGCAACGAUGCAUAGCCGACCUGAGAGGGUGGUCAGCCACCCUGGAACUGAGCCGCGGCCCAGACUCCUACGGGAGGCAGCGGUAGGGAAUCUUCCGCAAUGGGCGGAACCCUGGCGUGGCCCCGCCACGUGAGGUAUGAAGGUCUUCCGAUCGUAAUACUCUGUUAUUUGUGAGGAACAUUUGUGUAAGUAACUGGGCACUUCUUGCCGGUACCUAAUCAGAAAGCCCCGGCUAACUACGUG
rnacentral:rRNA from 1 species